rnacentral:rRNA from 1 species
GUCCACGCCAUAAACGAUGUCAACUGGUUGUUGGGUCUUCACUGACUCAGUAACGAAGCUAACGCGUGAAGUUGACCGCCUGGGGAGUACGGCCGCAAGGUUGAAACUCAAAGGAAUUGACGGGGACCCCGCACAAGCGGUGGAUGAUGUGGUUUAAUUCGAUGCAACGCGAAAACCUUACCCACCUUUGACAUGUACGGAACUCGCCAGAGAUGGCUUGGUGCUCGAAAGAGAGCCGUAACACAGGUGCUGCAUGGCUGUAGU